GGGCCUAUAGUUUAGUGGUAGAACAACGGUCUUCUAAGCCAUUGGUGAAAGUUCGAUUCUUUCUGGGUCCA
rnacentral:tRNA from 1 species